rnacentral:rRNA from 1 species
GAACGUACGCUGGCGGCACGCCUAACACAUGCAAGUCGAACGAAGUAGUAAUACUUAGUGGCAGACGGGUGAGUAACAUGUAGGUAUCUGCCCUUUGGCCUGGAAUAACACGAGGAAACUUGUGCUAAUACCGGAUAAGUCUUUACGGAGAAAGCUUUAUGCACCAUUGGAUGAGCCUGCACUUGAUUAGUUUGUUGGUGGGGUAAUGGCCUACCAAGACUGUGAUCAAUAGCUGAUUUGAGAGGAUGAUCAGCCACAUUGGGACUGAGACACGGCCCAGACUCCUACGGGAGGCAGCAGUGGGGAAUCUUGCACAAUGGAGGAAACUCUGAUGCAGCGAUGCCGCGUGAGUGAAGAAGGCCUUUGGGUUGUAAAGCUCUUUCGUCGGGGAAGAAAAUGACUGUACCCGAAUAAGAAGGUCCGGCUAACUUCGUGCCAGCAGCCGCGGUAAUACGAAGGGACCUAGCGUAGUUCGGAAUUACUGGGCUUAAAGAGUUCGUAGGUGGUUGAAAAAGUUAGUGGUGAAAUCCCAGAGCUUAACUCUGGAACUGCCAUUAAAACUUUUCAGCUAGAGUAUGAUAGAGGAAAGCAGAAUUUCUAGUGUAGAGGUGAAAUUCGUAGAUAUUAGAAAGAAUACCAAUUGCGAAGGCAGCUUUCUGGAUCAUUACUGACACUGAGGAACGAAAGCAUGGGUAGCGAAGAGGAUUAGAUACCCUCGUAGUCCAUGCCGUAAACGAUGUGUGUUAGACGUUGGAAAUUUAUUUUCAGUGUCGCAGCGAAAGCGAUAAACACACCGCCUGGGGAGUACGACCGCAAGGUUAAAACUCAAAUGAAUUGACGGGGACCCGCACAAGUAGUGGAGCAUGUGGUUUAAUUCGAAGAUACGCGCAGAACCUUACCAACACUUGACAUGUUCGUCGCGACUCUAAGAGAUUAGAGUUUUCGGUUCGGCCGGACGAAACACAGGUGCUGCAUGGCUGUCGUCAGCUCGUGUCGUGAGAUGUUGGGUUAAGUCCCGCAACGAGCGCAACCCUCACUUUUAGUUGCCAUCAUUAAGUUGGGCACUCUGAAAGAACUGCCAGUGAUAAGCUGGAGGAAGGUGGGGAUGACGUCAAGUCCUCAUGGCCCUUACGUGUUGGGCUACACACGUGCUACAAUGGUAUCUACAACAGGAAGCAAAACUGCGAAGUUAAGCAAAUCCCUAAAAGAUACCUCAGUUCGGAUUGCACUCUGCAACUCGAGUGCAUGAAGCUGGAAUUACUAGUAAUCGUGGAUCAGCGUGCCACGGUGAAUGCGUUCCCGGGUCUUGUACACACCGC